rnacentral:lncRNA from 10 species
UGUAGGAGACACCUCCAGAGAAAGUAACAGCUCUCAAUUGAUUAGCUGAGGAGCUGAUACCAUCAGCAUUCUUACUGAAGAACUCCUUAGUGAAAUAGGGAAGUUCAUAAAAUGCUUGUGAGAAGAUGGAAUAAAUAGGAAUUUCUGUAUUCCUCCUGAUAAGUACAACUAAAAACCCUGGACAUUAUUUAUAAAACAAACUGAAGAAGACUCUGAAAGAUAGAGAGGAGAAAGCAGACCACCUAGGGACCUCAGGACUCAAGGAACAAAAUGGUAGUGAUACCUUGGGUAUUCUUUUUGCGUCAUAUAUUGCAGAAUUGGAGCUGAAGAAGCCAGCAACUCAGAAAUGCCACUAGGCAUAGACCAAAAACAGAAAGAAAAAGAAAAUCCUCAAAAAGAGCUUGUAAGCCAGGCACAGUGGCUCCUGUAAUCCCAGCACUUUGGGAUGCUGAGGCGGGCAGAUUGCUUGAGCUCAGGAGUUCAAGACCACCCUGGGCAACAUUGUGAAAUCAUGUCUCUACCAAAAAAAUUAAAAAAUCAGUUGGGCAUGGUGG